rnacentral:ncRNA from 2 species
AACAUUCCGAAGGGGUGGCCGGAUGGUCUGAGAGCAUACCCUUGGAACCUGAUCUGGACAAUACCAGCGGAGGGAUUCGGAAUUCCAGCGUUU